CCCUGUACUGCGAGGGGAGAGGUACGGUCGCACAUUAAUUAUUUCUCCCCUCACCCCCCGUCGCCGGGUCUCUCUACCCCCUACCACACGAGUCAGCCACUCACCCACACGAACGGCAUCGGGAACGGGCUAGAAACCAAUCUCUCUUUCUCUUUUCCUCCGUACUCCCUUCCCUAGAAAUAUCUCUCUCACUUGUUUCUCUCUCUCUGCGGAUUUUCCCGAAUUUCGUCUCCGUACUUCUCUCCCUUUCCCUCACUCCUCCCUCGCACCCUUAUGCCCUACGGGAAAUCGAUUUUUCGACGGAGUCCCCACUGCCGGCCUUGCCGACCAGAGGGACGAAGGAGUUGCAAUGUUUUUGCAACGUAUUUCAUAUCGUCCACGCAUCUCGUAAUUACUAUUGUAUCAAGAAACCAAGCGCGACCUCUAGAUUGUCUUAAUGGCCAAAGAAUUAACUAGUUCACGGAGUUUCUCUCGGAUCUCCCGCCUUGCACACUUUCCAGAUCACGUGACGGUGUAAGGAUCUCUAAACUCGAGAAUUUAUGUCAACAUUUUUCAUUCACGUUUUAUGAUAUUACUGUUUUACUAAUGGGGAAAUAAUAUAUGAAAAAUAAGUAAUGUAUAAUUGCAUUG